CCAUUAUUGUACCCCCGACCCCAUUUGAUGGGGCAUUGCGGUUGUAAAAUGGGGGUUUUCAAGGAAUAACGGUGGCGUAGGGGAAAUUGAGACGAGCCAAACAGAGAAAAGAAUAACUCAGCCAUGACCAACAAGGCAGUCAGCCGCAGCGACAAUUUCAGUAGGAUUAUUUCUGCAGUCAGAUUCGAAAUAUCCCGCGCAAUGUGUGUCGGCGCUGUUUUUCUGUUCGGAGUAGCCGCGCCUUGGUGCUGCAGAGGACGCCGAAGUCGGAACUACGCGCGGAGGAACACCAGCCUUCGGAGCGCGCGCGCGCGCGCUGAAAGCUGCGAUUGAGCAGCCAUUUGCCAGCGACGGCACAUUCUUCUACCGUGGUUGAUGUUUCUCACUGCUUUGAACCCCCAAGACUCCACGGACUGCGGCUGCGGUCGUUUCAUUGCCAACUGUGACGAUGAAGCAGCUUCAUGGCCGGAGAUCGGGCGCCUCCCAUCAAUUUCCCUUUUCAGCAAUAGAGGCCUUGGAGGCCUUUCUACCUGCGUUGCAUCCUGUGGCUGGACCACUCCAACGAUCUCGGCAGAAUCGUUACACAGCAUGAAAAAAACAUCUUAGAUGAAACAAGGCAAAAAUGGCUGCUUAUGCAUUUGUACGAUAUUCCAACUGAGAGGGGUGAAAAGUAAUAAAAUGUUCUACUUUCAUAAUUUUUCUACCAUGUGUACAACAUUUCUUAAUAGGCAUGAAGCAAAUUCACUUUUAUCACUAGCCUAUUACAGAAACAAAAAAUGACAAACAGCUUUUAAGGGGGCCCUCAGAAGGGCCCAGUCCGUGCGUCUUCUUUUCUAGCGCCAUGGCUGUGAGCGCAGCUGAGCACAUCUGCAGCCUCCACACCCUGUUCUAGAGGUGAUCUGCUGCGUGUGGAAAGACUAGACGUGCUGAUAUGGCGUGGUAUUAUGUGCACAGUCUUCCCACGUGUUUAGUACACGGGGUUGCAUAAUCUCUAGUUUCAGAGAUGCAUUGAAGUUUGAGACAGACAAAGCAUUCGCCUCCACUGCCAGCACUUUUCAUGAUAGUGUCGUUCCACUGUGUGUGGCAGUAUCAAAGAGGACAGGGUGGAUGCGAAAGCAAGGCUGGGUUUUGCUUCAUGCUACCUAUGUGAAGGUAUCGUUAACACACCGUGAAACCGUAUCUUUGGUCGCUGACUCUCAAAUUCAAAAUUUUUUUCUCAUUCAGAUUUGUGUUUUCUGACUGCGGCCCUUUCCAUGGGAAAACAAUCCAUUUGCAAAUGUACUUAUUUGACUAAACGGUCGAAUCUGAGUACAACAAACCAAAUUGCUGAUUUUAGUGCAUUCAUUAUGUUGGGGUUCCUUUGUAUAUGACUCCAGAAAAAGCCGACCAUUGUCUGCUCAUACUCCGCCGCGCCCGCCCAUAUAGGAAUAAACUUAAUUUUGGUUGGCCACGAUGCUUAUCGGUGUAGUAGCUGUCGUGUGUCCACCCAUACUCAUUUUGUUGGCUUCCCGAAAACCUGAAAGAACAGCUGUAUUUUGCUUAUGUGCAUUCACUAAUCAAAUAAGUACAUGUUUGCUAGAAUCCCCAUAAUAUUGAGUCAGCUGGUCUGCUUGAAAAUGUUCAAAAUAUGGCAGUUAGAUUUGUAAUAGGAAGUCAUACUAAAAGGCUUUGUAUUACUGAGAGUAAGGGUAAGCUGCAAUGGCAGGAUUUAAAAGAGUGGGAAAUCUCUUCAGUUAAAAUUAUUUCAAGCAUAUACUGUUCCAAACAUGUAGAGAUAGAGAAAUUCAUAUCAGGCUAUCAUCAUACCUCACAAGAAAGAGAUUACACUAAAAAGGUUUAUUAAUUUCCUUUUACUUAUAGGUGAUGCCUCACAUUGUUUUUUCCUUGGACCAAAGGGACUGCAAGGUUUUUCAGCCUGCAAUUGUUUGCAUAGUUUUCAAAGAUAAUUCCCUCCCUGCUUUGUGUGCUUGAUUUGAAUGUAAGUUACAUUACACAGAAUGUAUACCCCCCCUGCAAUGCCAGUACAGGCGAAGCAGGUACUAAAUGAAUAACCACAAAAGGAUUUUGGAGCGAGCAAAAAUGGCAUGUGCAAUAGAUAUGCGUAGAUGUCCCGUUGGUGUUGCUGUCAAACAAGAAAUUGGGAUAUCGAGGAACUGAGCAAAGUAACUACAUGUGUGCUUGCCAAACUAUAGCUGUCAUUUACACCUUGAUUGUGACUUAGCUACCAAAAGAAGUUUUUUUGUCUUGUUCUUUUUCUGUUAAAAUGUACUUUUUUCUUUGUCUACUUUCAUUUGGGUUUUUGUAGCUAUAUCGUGCACAUGUGACCAAUAAUGCCGUGUGGAAGUUAGUGGUUGUGGGUAUUCCAUCCUGCCUGUCGUUUGUUCAGUGUGUGUACUAAAGUCAAUAGAGCACCAACCAGUAUAAACCAGUGUGUUGAAUUUGUUUUCUAGUUUUAGUACGAAUGAUCUGACUGGUGAUGUGCCCAAAUAAACAAUUAGAUUAUGAAAACAAAGUUCAUCAGAACAUGUCAUGCAUUUUACUUAUAAUGACCCUAUUUCAACUGCAGAACCCACAUAUUAAGGCAUGUAGAUUUAAGUAGAACAAGUCUUUUUGCAAUCCUUAGUUCUGAAUAGGUGAGAGCAGUGCUAAGGACACAAAGUGAGUCCACAUAGAUAAAUGGCAUGGUGCACUGUGCACUGACUAAUAAUUGAUGUGUUUUUGCAACAGACAAGCAAAUAAAUAUCCAGUAAUGCCUUGUCAAAGGCACGAAACCACAUAAAGAGGCAGGGGGUGGUCAGGUACAAAUGUGCCGUGGUUUCAGGUUUGUUAACAAGCAUACCACUUUUCUGUAACUUCAGAGAACAGGUGCUGCGCUGACACAUUAAUCUUUUUUUUUUUUCUUGUUGUUAUUUUGUGGGAUUUGAUUAGUUUCUGGGUUAAUGGUUGCUGCUUUCGCUAACAUGUUGCACUUAUGAAAUUUGGGCUGUCAUCUGCACUGUAUACAGUGUAUGUACUCUUAUGGUCACAUUAUAGUGGUGCUUAAUCGUGAAGGCUCUCAUUCAAAUAUAAGCUUGUCUGGUCUACAUAUGCUUUCCUUCAUGCCAAAGGAAUAAGAUAUACUAUGUUUGUGUCAGAAGGAAAGAAACUGAGACUGGUGUCUAUUAUUGCACAUAAAUCUAUGCUUAGUUGCGUUAACAUUUUUGCAUAAUUUCAACAACUUAUUUAGUGCAUUUCUGUAACAUUCACACUCUUUCUUAUCCACUUAGGUGUAAGGAAUAAAGGCAAAAAAGUAAAGCAUUGCAGUGGAUUUAACUUAAUUCUCUUGAUUCUUGUUACCUUCUUGAUAGCUUUUCUAUUUGGAAGAGCAUAUGUACAAAAGCAUGUUUUGACCAAAUAGGCUGCUGUUUGGGAGGCUUUGCAAGCACCACUAUAACGUGACAAAAGCAGUUUGUGGCCAUUUGGUUAUAUAAAUUCUGGUGUAAUGACACCACAAAAAGUAAACAAAGAUAUGUACACACAUGACACAAGCACCGGAUCUCACUUCAAGCUUUAAAAUAAGGAAACAGGCAAUAUUUAAUAACAGGUGGAGACAUGAUGUGAUGAUAUCUGUUAAAAGAAAUUCUUUAUGCAGUGCAACUAUUGGAUCACUGAUACAUUCGUCAUUCUUUUUAAAUGUUGCAUGUUGUCAGGUCGUAAUACCUGGCUACAACGCAAGUUUUGUGGAACACAGGACCGCAGUCACAUUCUUUGCAGUAUUUAACAUUGUGUGAUGGAGGAUAGUUUCACACGGACGACUCAUACUCACUCAAUUACCCUGAUUUCGCAUUAAUAGAGCAUCUCAUCUGUCCAAUGUAGGCACGGCCUUAUGAUGGCAGCAGACUACACAACGCUUGCGGCCUAGCUCACUAGAUGCAUAUUGUGCUUCAACCACAACCAACCUUUUCCUUUUUUUUGGCUUCUGCAUUUUAUUACAGCACAAAACUCUCCUAACAAGGGCCUGAGAAAACAAUGAUUUGCGCAACUAAAUUAGGCAUGAAUAUGGAAUAUAAUGAAUGAGAUGAAGUAAAAAAGGGUUGCAGUUGUUUCGUAUGCAUUUGUAAUUUUCAUGGGUAAUUGUGUAGCUGGUCUCUACGGGCAAAAAUUUUUUUUCUGUAUGAAACAUGUGAUGAGAUUUGCUCUGAUGAGAAAAAGAGACAAGCCAGGAAAACAAAUUAAUUUGUUGCGUGCAGCACAAUUUGCAGGCAGUGCACUGUGCAACGGAGGUUAUGUACAGUCAGCCAUUCCCAUCCAGUCAUGCUUGCAUUGCAUACACACAUUGUAUUAAUUUGAGAUUGCGGCUAAUGAAGUUUGUGUGGAAUAACUCUCAUUCGCACAUAGUGAUGCACUGCAAAAUAGAUUGGUUCGUUCCUGUGUUCAUCAAAACUCGUAGCCAGAAAUUAUGAGCAGAUGUACAUAAGAUAAUUAAGCUUUGGUAGAUUAGCACGAAAAGGACAAAUGCGUCAGUCAUUCUCAGUUACAUUGCACAAAGAAUUUGUUUUUGAAUUAAUGACAUCACUUCCUGUCACUAUGUGUUGUAUAUGAUGUCUGUUUUCUUGUUAAAGCGAGAGUUCAGGUUAGGCACUUAUGUCCUGUAUGUCUUUGUCUUCGUUUGCUUCUGUGGUGCCAUUACACCAGAAUAAGUCCAUGACAGGAGCUGCCAGUCUAUGCAGUUAUACUACAUUGGGCUCAGUACGCCUGGGGGCCUGAAUGUGACGAGUGCGAAGUAGCAGUAAGAAAUUCAGAAGGGUAGAAUUUUGUGUCGGUGGUGCAUAUUACAGUAUGGUGAAGCGCUAUAGAUGGAACAGUGUGAGGCAAGACAGAUGGGGAAAGUGCUACAGACAACUGUGAAUGUUUACUGGAAAGUUUCGCUGCAGCGGGACAAUGCAUGUAUUAUCCUGGUGCAGCAAAAUUUGCCAAUGUUCAUAGUUGUCAGCACUUGCCCAUCUACAUUACACUUCACCGUACACUAGUAGUGGUAACAACAGCAACCAACUGACCCGAGCAAUAAUGAAAGCCCACAGAAUUGCCAAAUUGUAGGAGAAAUGUUUCAGUGUAACACAUGUUUUGUUAACUGACAAGCAAAUGUCAUACAUGUCUGUGAACCGAUGAUCAGAUGCAUUUUUCAUGCACAUACAUUAUUUUGUACAACUGCUUCCUGCUUUGGUUUUUCAUGGCUUUUAGGAAGCAUUCCAAAGUACUUAACUGUUUGUCUGUUCUAAAAUUGAAUCUGUUCUCAGCCAGCACUAUGUGGCACUACUGCAUAAGCCCUUACUUCGUCAGUGUCCUUCGUACUGUUCCCAACUAAAUAUGAAUAACCAAAUAACCAUGUUUUUAAAUUUUCAGAUUAUGAAGAAAAUACUCUUAAUAUGUAUUUCAUUAGAAAAAUUUUCUCAAUUUUAGGAAGUCUGGCUGGCCCCAAGCCUGGUGCAAAAUGAAGAAAUGGCACUCCACAUCAAUUCAUGUUUACUUGUCGUCAUAACCAGUCUGUUAGCUUAAUUUUUGGUUCUUCCUAUUGAAUUCUCAAGAAAGGUACCAACUCUGUCAUUCAUUGAAAACAAAUUUUUGCACUUGGGGAUGCAGCCAUGCACAAAGCCUUUGAGCUCAUUAAUAUCUUUAUUUUUUAAGGAAAGUGCAGCUCCUGCGUGGAGCAAUAGGUUGAAUAAGACGAGGGUAAAUGAAAAGAUGGCGAAAUUAGUCAUCAACAGUUGUCCAGCAAAGGAAGUCUCAAGCUGGAGGCAACAUCUUUGCAAGAGAACCAAAUGGCUCCAGCCUGGGACAUUCGUUGUUCAACCUGGCAAGUCUCCUUCUCGAAAUAUUUCCUCUAGCCUGAGACCUAUAUCCAUUCCACCACCCUUGACCAACAAUACACCUAUACAUUUGGCAACCCAUGGAAAGGUAGCAAAUUCACAUUCAAGGAAAGGGAAUGUAGUGUGCACCCUGGAAGGUAGCAUGAACAGUAUUUUAUUUACUUAAUGAAAUGCAGAUUUGCUAUCCAAUUACUUUAUUUUGAUCCCUUUUUUAUAAUUGGACAGCAUGGUUCCUCAGAGAGAAUAAUAAUUCGAAGCUCACACAAUUUUGCUCCUUUAUGUCCGUUAAAUCUGUCCUGGUUGCUACACUAUCAGCCCUGUCUGCAAUUGCAUAGCAGUGUUUUGAGCAUGCAUCCAAAUUCAAAAGAAUAGUUAGGCUUCUACCUCAGAAUGUUUGCUACUGUGUUGCAGCUCGAAUUCUAUGUCUAGGUGGUCACUGUGAUGCCAUGUGCUUUUUAAAUAAGACCAAUAUGCUAUUUGAAGGGCAAUUAAAUGCAAUCUCAAAUGACCUCAGCUCGGGGAAUGACACUAUUGGAGGUCAAUGUGAUAAGGAGGAUUUUAUUUCUGAAAACAAGGCACUUAAACGGGAGAAAGCAUGACUAAUUUCGUCUAAACAUGCUGCUAUUGGAUAUGAUCAAGGAGGGUACUUGUUCGUGGCUGCAUUCGCAACAUGUUACAUUGCUGGCUUUAUAUAUUGCACUGGGUACAGUGAAAUGUUGCUGCUUGCACAAUAUUCAACUAAACAUGGUAGCCAUGCUAAUGUGUCCAUGCAGAACACAACUCAUCCACUAUUAUGGCCUACAGUGGAAUCUCGAUAAACGAAAAUCGCUUCAAUGCUGCCGCUUAAAUAGGACACCAUCCUGAUAAUUGGUUGGCUCUCUGCAAUGUCUCUCAGUAGAUAUAAUGCCUGGUAAAUGGAACCAAUUUCCCUGGCACCUUGAGGCUCCAUUUAAAGAGCACCCACUGUAAAAAUAUAGGGGGGAUCGUGUUUGGAACUUUCGUAAAUGUAGUCUUAAACAAAACCGCAUUUCAGUGGGAGCGAAAUGCAAAAGCACCCGUGUACUUAGGUGCAUGUUAAAGAACCCCAGGUUGUCCAAAUUAAUUCGGGGUUACUCGCUAUGGCAUGUGUCAUAAUCAGAAGGUGGGUUCUGGUUCGUAAAAUACAAUAAUUUUUAAUAGCUUGCUCAGAAAUCCAGCACUAAAUUAUGUAGCUCGUUUGUGUGAUGAGUCCCAAUUUCUUAAUUUAGUACUUUGACAUUUAUCAUAUUUGUGUGCUAGUCCAUGCAAAAUACCACUGAUCGGCCUCAUUAUACCAGCCACUGUUAAUUAGGAAUGGCUUAGUCAAGCAACUUAAACUUGCAGCACAAACACCUAAGACGAACCACAAAAGGAAGAUACGACACACACUGGUGCUAACAACUUCUUUAUUUCUUCGUCGUCGAUGCAAUAUAAACCCUAGGCCACACUACCGCGCAGGCACUCGGAUUACAUUACAGAGAUCUGCCAAAUUAUCACAUACGCAAGCGUAGGAAGUCAAAUUCAGAUGGAUGCAGGAACAAACAUAUCUUACUAAUGCAAUUAUCGCCCUGCCUUUCUUGUGGUAGGCCUCUAAGGCAAGCCGCACAUGCUCAUUCUUGCUUUUGCCAAGAAUCGACGUCCCAUCAAGUUGUGCCUCACAAUUGUUGCAAGAGUUUAUAUGCGCACCAAGGUGCGCUCCUCUAUCUACAUUUUUGCUUACUUGUUGCGCAUGUUCCCUGAGUCGCUCAUUGACGCAAUGCCCUAUCUAGCCAAGCUAUGUCUUACCACAUGAGAGUGAAUGGCAUAAACCCCGCCGACUGUGCACAACACGUAUGAAGCAUCAUGCCGAAUUUGGCAUCCUCCUCUGCCCUCUCCGCAGGUGCGGGAGCAUAGCUUUAAAAGCUUGUUCGGUGCAGAAAACGCCAAAGGAACACUAUGCCUGCAAGCAAUUUUCUUGAGUUGAUAGAUGACCUUAUGUGUUUAAGGGACCGCGCAGGGAACAUGCACAAAAAGUAAACAAAAAUGUAGAUAGAAGAGUGCACAUUGUUGCGCAUAUAAACUCUUGCAAAAAUUGUGAGGCACGACUUGAUGGGACGUCGAUUCUUGGCAAAAGCAUGAAUGAGCUUGCGCGGCUUGCCUUAGAGGCCUACCACAUAAAAAGGCAAAAUGAUAAUUGUAUCAGUGACAUAGCUUUGUCCCUGCACCCAUCUGAAUUUGAGUUCCUACGUUUGCAUAUGUGAUAAUUUGGGAGAUCUCUGUAAUGUAAUGUGUGCGCCUGUGCAGUUGUGUGGCCUAGGGCAUAUACCGGGUGUCCC